rnacentral:rRNA from 1 species
AUGGUCGCCCCCUUGUGGUCGGUGUACAGGUGGUGCAUGGUUGUCGUCAGCUCGUGUCGUGAGAUGUUGGGUUAAGUCCCGCAACGAGCGCAACCCUCGUUCUAUGUUGCCAGCGCGUUAUGGCGGGGACUCAUAGGAGACUGCCGGGGUCAACUCGGAGGAAGGUGGGGAUGACGUCAAAUCAUCAUGCCCCUUAUGUCUUGGGCUUCACGCAUGCUACAAUGGCCGGUACAAAGGGCUGCGAUACCGUAAGGUGGAGCGAAUCCCAAAAAGCCGGUCUCAGUUCGGAUUGAGGUCUGCAACUCGACCUCAUGAAGUCGGAGUCGCUAGUAAUCGCAGAUCAGCAACGCUGCGGUGAAUACGUUCC